AUACAUACCUGGCACAGGUUAUGCCGUGAUCACGAAGGCGGUUCUCCCAGGGCAAGGCUCACCAUUGCACUCGGGUGGCGCCGACCCCAGCAAUUAACCCAAAUGUGAUUAAAUUGAAUGCGCAAUUUUUGGUAGCAAGGGCCUGCGUUCCCUUA
rnacentral:snRNA from 1 species